UUAACAAAAACAUGUCUUUUUGAGUUAUUUUUAAAGUCUGACCUGCCCACUGAAGUUAUUUAAAUGGCCGCAGUAUUCUAACUGUGCAAAGGUAGCAUAAUCAUUAGUCUUUUAAUUGAAGGCUGGUAUGAACGGUUGGACGAGGUAUAAGCUGUUUCAUAUAAAUUUAUAAUAGAAUUUUAUAUUUUAGUCAAAAAGCUAAAAUUUAAUUAAAAGACGAGAAGACCCUAUAAAUCUUUAUACUUUACAUUGUUUAAAUUUUUUAGAUUAAUUUUAUUUUUAUAAUUUAAAGUAUUUUGUUGGGGUGAUAUUAAAAUUUAAUGAACUUUUAAUUAUUUAAAAUCAUUAAUUUAUGAGUUAUUGAUCCAUUAGUAGUGAUUAUAAGAUUAAGUUACUUUAGGGAUAACAGCGUAAUUUUUUUGGAGAGUUCAUAUCGAUAAAAAAGUUUGCGACCUCGAUGUUGGAUUAAGAUAUAUUUUUAGGUGUAGCCGCUUAAAUGUGAAGUCUGUUCGACUUUUAAAUUCUUACAUGAUCUGAGUUC
rnacentral:rRNA from 1 species